rnacentral:rRNA from 1 species
UACGAAGGGGGCGAGCGUUGUUCGGAUUUACUGGGCGUAAAGGGCGCGCAGGCGGCGCAUUUUGUCAGGCGUGAAAGCCCCGGGCUUAACCUGGGAACUGCGUUUGAUACGGAUGGGCUAGAGUUCGGGAGAGGAGAGUGGAAUUCCCAGUGUAGAGGUGAAAUUCGUAGAUAUUCGCAAGAACACCAGUGGCGAAGGCGGCUCACUGGCCCGAAACUGACGCUGAGGCACGAAAGCGUGGGGAGCAAACAGG